AAACCAACAGGGAUUGCCCUAGUAACGGCGAGUGAAGCGGCAACAGCUCAAAUUUGAAAUCUGGCCUUCGGGUCCGAGUUGUAAUUUGUAGAGGAUGCUUUUGGCGCGGUGCCUUCCGAGUUCCUUGGAACAGGACGCCUUAGAGGGUGAGAGCCCCGUACGGUUGGACACCAAGCCUCUGUAAAGCUCCUUCGACGAGUCGAGUAGUUUGGGAAUGCUGCUCUAAAUGGGAGGUAAAUUUCUUCUAAAGCUAAAUAUUGGCCAGAGACCGAUAGCGCACAAGUAGAGUGAUCGAAAGAUGAAAAGCACUUUGAAAAGAGGGUUAAAUAGCACGUGAAAUUGUUGAAAGGGAAGCGUUUGCGACCAGACCUUUUCCUAGCGGAUCAUCCGGUGUUCUCACCGGUGCACUUCGCUAGGUUUAGGCCAGCAUCGGUCUCUGUAGGGGGAUAAAAGCCCUGGGAACGUAGCUCCCUCGGGAGUGUUAUAGCCCUCUGCAUAAUACCCUUACGGGGACCGAGGACCGCGCUUCGGCAAGGAUGCUGGCGUAAUGGUCGUCAACGAC
rnacentral:rRNA from 1 species